AAAACGGCGGUCGCCGCGCCCGCCUAGUCCUCAAACGGGGCGACGGCUCGGUGCCUGAAUAUGACCCCAGCAUCGACGGUGCCGGCCCAGCCGCAGGGGUACAAAACGCUUCGGAAGUGAGCACCCUGCCCUACAACAACGCACCAUCGGACACGAACGCACCAGUCCCUCACAAACCAUCACGGAGCAAGAACAAGAAGGGCCACCAAUAUUCCAAACACCGAUCCCCGGAAAAGAAGAGCCAGGGAGGGGCGUCUGGGGAGACAAGGGCCUCCAAGCAGUCCAAGAAAAAAGUUGACAGGAGCCAGAGGUCUGGCGGGGAUACCCACGGCACUCACCACCGAGGACACCACUCCCCGAAUAAGGGCCGUAGCCGGGCCCGCAGUGCAGAGAACACCCUAGACAGUAGACACAGCCAAGAGCACCACAACACCCACCGCUCUCCCUACAGGUCCACUCACCGCAAUCGGUCCCCCUAUGGCCACCGGUCCCCCUACCGCUCCCCCCACCGCUCACACCACCACUCCCCCACCCGCUACCGCCGUACCCAAUCCUCAGACCCCUACCGGCAGCCCUCCCUAGACAGACAGCGACACAGAGAGCCAGAGAGGCCCAACGGGGAGAAGGCACCAGUGCUGAGGAAGCCUCCUGGCCCUGUGCCCAGCCCCUUCCUGGAUGAGAGCCUCCUACAGGAGCCCCCAGCCCUGGACCAGCUCAACAGGGAGGUCACGCGACUGAGGGAGUCCAGAGAGGAGCACCUGUUUGGGGAGGACAGCCUUCUGCUGACGGCCUCCAACCUGGAGCGUGACUACAGAGGAGACAGCCUGUUAUCUGCUGCUGCCCGUGGCCAGAGAGGGGAGAUCCUUCCCAGGGUCCACACCCCUGAGUCAGACAGCGCCUACAAGAGGUACAGCUCACUGCUAAGGGGCCGCUCGCCUGAGAGGGUGGAGAGAGAGCCGCGCUCCCCAGACCCCCACCAUAGAGCCCGUAGCCUGGGCCAAGACAUUUCACCUGUCAGAAGCUUCAGAGAACCGGAGGAGGAGGAAGAGGCAGCACCCAGACUGAAAGAGUAUUACAGCACACUUAAGUCUAAUGCCAGCCGUGCUUCCAAAGCUCUCCCGAAGCCCAAGCGGAAGGCCCAUAAAGAUGGCACCAAAGACCUGAGCAUCUGAUGGGUCAUCUGCUGUAACACAACCAGCCUUCCCUCCAACCUCCCCACAGCAACACAGUUCCCCCUCACCACUCAGCUCUACUCUUCACACAGCAGAACACACCUGGACCUUGGAUGAACCAAAUGUAUUGAUUAUAUGACAUUCCUGCUUUCCUACUAGACAGUGAUUCCAAAACCUAUCAACUUUUUCUGUUUGUUGGAUUUUUUGGGGGGUCGUUAGUUGGUUAAGCAUUGUAUAUUUAUCAGAAUUUUGCAGAAAAUGUAAAACCGAAAAAAAACAAUGAUGUGCCUAACAGUUAUUUUAAUGAGUGUAUUUUUCUUUUGUCUUUGUUUGAUAUGAGAUGAGUGUUUUCUCAGCCGAAAGUGGUAUGUACAUUUCCACUGAGCCCAAGGAGGUAGGCAUUACACAGCCCCAGUGACUGGUGCCACUGACACAGAUGCUGUGCAUGUCUUUACGGUUUCAAUGUCUUCUCUUUUCUUUCUCUCCCCCAGUGCCACUGUUUUUAGACAUUUGACCAGACUAUAGCACAAGCCUGCAUUUGUUUGUAUAUUUUUGGACAGUGUGCAGUAUGUGUAAAUUCAGAGGUGAUCAUUUUAAACAAAUGAAGGGGAGGAUAAAGUUGAACUAUGAUGAUCAUGAUGUUAAAAUUAAAAUAAUAUAUCAAACAUAUCUUCUGUUUUUGGUAUUAUUGUAUUAGAAUGAAUCAGUGGAAAUGUGGAACAUUUAGAUGCGAGUCUUGCGUCUUAUUACUACUUCAAGACAAUAUGUAAUGUGGCUGAUAUCCCAAGAGAUGACCAAAUGGUAGAGUAAUAAUAUAAUACGUCAAAGCAAAGUCAAGCGUUGUUAAUUUGGAUCUGUCUGUUUUAUAAACCAGUGUGCUUCUUUGCUCUCUGUUCUUCAAAUGAGAGAGGAAGAAAGCUGUGUCCUCAGAUGUCAAGACGAUGACAGGAGCCAGUGGAUGGGGACACCAAGGUCAUGUUCUCAUACUCCCAGACCACAGACAGAAAGUGAUGCAGACAGAGGCCACUCAGAGGUUUUCCUUUAAUGAACCUAUCAGCUGUCAGCUUCAGGGCGGGCAGGUAGACGAUGGAAUGAUGUUAGAUAGAUAGAACUGAUUGAAAACAUGUUCAUGGCCUGGUGCAUAAAGUUGUCUCAUAAUGAAAACGUCUAUUUUGAAGAUGUGCUUAGAUAAGCCUUAGAAUAUUGGCUGAAUUGCAAAUAAUUUCAGUCAAUUAUCCUUUUACUUUUUAAUAACUAGGCUUAAUCUGUGUCUGUUUAACUACAUGGCAAGAUACAUUUAAGGAACAUGCCAGUUUCUUAUAAGAUUUCUUUAAACCUUAUUUUUAAUAACCUGUAAAAAAUAUUGUCACUUUGAUGCUUAAAAAGCAUAUCUAUGUACCAUGACAGUAUUCAAUCUGAUAAUUGCACCCACACAGCCUCUGUCAUCAAUCACUAUUAAUACAAUAUUUUUUGCCAAUUUGUGCAUAUUUGGAUAUUUAGAGUUCAUAUAAUAUUCACAACAUUGUUUAAAUUUAAGGAUAUUCAAUUGCCUGCUUAGCCUGAUGGCACUUAGAGAUUUGGUUACGGAAAUAUUAUAAUGAGUGUGUAGUGAAUUUGUGAUGAAAGGCCUCCAGCUAGUCCUGUAAACCUGUUUAUUGGGACACACAUUCACACCGGUGGGCUCCAGAUAGAAUGUCCAACUGUUGAAGUUGAGUUGUGGAAUGUCUCUGUGCGGACAACAGUAUUCUCUAAUAUUAACGAUGUCAUCAGUGUGUGAAGUUCCUGCAGCUUCUGAAGGUCUCCUCUCAUUAGUAAAUAGGGCUUUACUGCAUGUUAACACCACUGAUCAAUGUUUAAAGAUUCAAUUCAUGUUUUUGUCAAGCCAAAUAUAACGAUCUGUCUAGGUUGAUGGUGACAUGAUGAGUCGACCAACCAAAACAUGGUACUUUACUGUUUCCCAUUUAUACAAAAAUGGAAAUAAAAUCUUGGUAAACGGGGCCUAGCAAAUCAAACUGAAUUUGUCACAUGCGUCGAAUACAAGUGUAGACCUUACCGUGAAAUGCUUACUUACAAGCCCUUAACCAACCGCGCAGUUCGAGAAGUGUUAAGAAAAUAUUUACCAAAUAAACUAAAGUAACAAAAAAGAAUACAAAUUAACACAAUACAUUAACAAGAACGAGGCUACAGUUGAAGUCGGAAGUUUACAUACACUUAGGUUGGAGUCAUUAAAACUCGUUUUUCAACCACUCUACAAAUUUCUUGUUAACAAACUGUCGUUUUGGCAAGUCGGUUAGGACAUCUACUUUGUGCAUGACACAAGUAAUUUUUCCAACAAUUGUUUACAGACAGAUUAUUUCACUUCUAAUUAACUUUGUCACAAUUCCAGUGGGUCAGAAGAUUACAUACACUAAGUUGACUGUGCCUUUAAACAGCUUGGAAAAUGAUGUCAUGGCUUUAGAAGCUUCUGAUAGGCUAAUUGACAUAAUUUGAGUCAAUUGGAAGUGUACCUGUGGAUGUAUUUCAAGACCUACCUUCAAACUCA
rnacentral:lncRNA from 13 species